rnacentral:lncRNA from 1 species
GAUAGAAGCUUCUUAUCCUACUUCACACAGGAAUUAUCAUGCUCCUCAGGGUCCCAGCAUGGAGUCUGUGUUUCUGCUCAGCCUUCUCUUUUCCACAGCCUGCUGGCCCUCUCAGCUCUGUACUGGCUCAGUGUUGAGCUAAGAAUGAGUCUCAGACUUUGAGAUUACUUUUAAAAUAGACAUGAAGAUCAAGAAAGGCUACAUUUGGCAAAAGUGCAUGGAAGAAGGUAGAGAAAUAUGACACAGUAUCUGAAGUCUGACCAGCUUUGUAACUAUCUCCUUCUGAAUGACAUCUUGUGUUUCAUCAGUCGUGAGUCUGAAGAUCAGCUUCUAUGGAAGAAUGCCCAAGCUGCUUCAAGCUCUGGGGUUGUCUCACCAUCAAGGGAUCCCCUUUUACAGCCAAUAUUGUUAUGUUGAUCACACUCACCCAGUGAAGAUGAAGGGAAAGCAGAUUUUGUUUUCAAGUGAGAAAAAAAGCCAUGGAUUACUUGAGUGUAUUCUGUAGGGAAACGGAUUGAGA